AGUGAACGCUGGCGGUAGGCCUAACACAUGCAAGUCGAACGGCAGCACAGUAAGAUCUUUCUCUUACGGGUGGCGAGUGGCGGACGGGUGAGGAAUACAUCGGAAUCUACUUUUUCGUGGGGGAUAACGGAGGGAAACUUACGCUAAUACCGCAUACGACCUACGGGUGAAAGCAGUGGAUCUUCGGACCUUGCGCGAUUGAAUGAGCCGAUGUCGGAUUAGCUAGUUGGCGGGGUAAAGGCCCACCAAGGCGACGAUCCGUAGCUGGUCUGAGAGGAUGAUCAGCCACACUGGAACUGAGACACGGUCCAGACUCCUACGGGAGGCAGCAGUGGGGAAUAUUGGACAAUGGGCGCAAGCCUGAUCCAGCAAUACCGCGUGGGUGAAGAAGGCCUUCGGGUUGUAAAGCCCUUUUGUUGGGAAAGAAAAGCAGCAGGUUAAUACCCCGCUGUUCUGACGGUACCCAAAGAAUAAGCACCGGCUAACUUCGUG
rnacentral:rRNA from 1 species